CACUCCUACGGGAGGCAGCAGUGAGGAAUAUUGGACAAUGGGUGGAAGCCUGAUCCAGCCAUCCCGCGUGCAGGAAGACGGCCCUAUGGGUUGUAAACUGCUUUUAUCUGGGGAUAAACCCACUUACGUGUAAGUAGCUGAAGGUACCAGAAGAAUAAGCACCGGCUAACUCCGUGCCAGCAGCCGCGGUAAUACGGAGGGUGCAAGCGUUAUCCGGAUUUAUUGGGUUUAAAGGGUCCGUAGGCGGACUGAUAAGUCAGUGGUGAAAUCCGACAGCUUAACUGUCGAACUGCCAUUGAUACUGUUAGUCUUGAGUAAGGUUGAAGUGGCUGGAAUAAGUAGUGUAGCGGUGAAAUGCAUAGAUAUUACUUAGAACACCAAUUGCGAAGGCAGGUCACUAAGUCUUAACUGACGCUGAUGGACGAAAGCGUGGGGAGCGAACAGGAUUAGAAACCCGUGUAGUCCCAU
rnacentral:rRNA from 1 species